rnacentral:rRNA from 1 species
UACGGGGGGGGCAAGCGUUGUUCGGAAUUACUGGGCGUAAAGGGCUCGUAGGCGGCCAACUAAGUCAGACGUGAAAUCCCUCGGCUUAACCGGGGAACUGCGUCUGAUACUGGAUGGCUAGAGUUUGGGAGAGGGAUGCGGAAUUCCAGGUGUAGCAGUGAAAUGCGUAGAUAUCUGGAGGAACACCGGUGGCGAAGGCGGCAUCCUGGACCGACAUUGACGCUGAGGCGCGAAAGCCAGGGGAGCAAACGGG